rnacentral:rRNA from 1 species
UACAUAGGUCUCAAGCGUUGUUCGGAUUUAUUGGGCGUAAAGGGCACGUAGGCGGAUAUGAAAGUCAGAUGUGAAAUUCCUGGGCUCAACCUAGGAGCUGCAUUUGAAACUCCAUUGUCUAGAGGGUAGGCGGAGGAAACAGAAUUCCACAAGUAGCGGUGAAAUGCGUAGAUAUGUGGAAGAAUACCGGUGGCGAAGGCGGUUUUCUAGCUUAUUCCUGACGCUGAAGCGCGAAAGCAAGGGGAUCAAACAGG